rnacentral:rRNA from 1 species
GACGAACGCUGGCGGCGUGCUUAACACAUGCAAGUCGAACGGAAAGGCCCUGCUUUUGUGGGGUGCUCGAGUGGCGAACGGGUGAGUAACACGUGAGUAACCUGCCCUUGACUUUGGGAUAACUUCAGGAAACUGGGGCUAAUACCGGAUAGGAGCUCCUGCUGCAUGGAGGGGGGUGGAAAGUUUCGGCGGUUGGGGAUGGACUCGCGGGUUAUCAGCUUGUUGGUGGGGUAGUGGCUUACCCAGGCUUUGAAUGGUAGGCGGCCUGUGAGGGUGGCCGGCCACAUUGGUACUACGGUACGGCCCAGACUCCUACGGGGGACAGCAGUGGGGAAUAUUGCACAAUGGGCGGAAGCCUGAUGCAGCGACGCCGCGUGCGGGAUGACGGCCUGCGGGUUGUGAACCGCUUUCGCCUGUGACGAAGCGGGAGUGACGGUAAUGGGUAAAGAAGCACCGGCUAACUACGUG